UGCGGCGAUAUUGCGACAAUGGGGGCAACCCUGAUGCCAGCCAUGCCGCGUGUGUGAAGAAGGCCUUUUGGUUGUAAAGCACUUUAAGCAGUGAAGAAGACUCCGUGGUUAAUACCCACGGACGAUGACGGUAGCUGCAGAAUAAGCACCGGCUAACUCUGUGCCAGCAGCCGCGGUAAUACAGAGGGUGCAAGCGUUAAUCGGAAUUACUGGGCGUAAAGCGAGCGUAGGUGGCUUGAUAAGUCAGAUGUGAAAUCCCCGGGCUUAACCUGGGAACUGCAUCUGAUACUGUUAGGCUAGAAUAGGUGAGAGGAAGGUAGAAUUCCAGGUGUAGCGGUGAAAUGCGUAGAGAUCUGGAGGAAUACCGAUGGCGAAGGCAGCCUUCUGGCAUCAUAUUGACACUGAGGUUCGAAAGCGUGGGUAGCAAACAGGAUUAGAUACCCCAGUAGUC
rnacentral:rRNA from 1 species